rnacentral:rRNA from 1 species
CCUACGGGUGGCAGCAGUGAGGAAUAUUGGUCAAUGGGCUUACGCCUGAACCAGCCAAGUCGCGUGAGGGAAGACUGCCCUAUGGGUUGUAAACCUCUUUUGUCAGGGAGCAACGCCGGCUACGUGUAGCCGGACUGAGAGUACCUGAAGAAAAAGCAUCGGCUAACUCCGUGCCAGCAGCCGCGGUAAUACGGAGGAUGCGAGCGUUAUCCGGAUUUACUGGGUGUAAAGGGAGCGUAGACGGCUGUGCAAGUCUGAAGUGAAAGCCCAGGGCUCAACCCUGGGACUGCUUUGGAAACUGUGGAGCUAGAGUGCUGGAGAGGCAGGUGGAAUUCCUAGUGUAGCGGUGAAAUGCGUAGAUAUUAGGAGGAGCACCAGUGGCGAAGGCGGCCUGCUGGACGAUGACUGACGUUGAGGCUCGAAAGCGUGGGGAGCAAACAGGAUUAGAUACCCUGGUAGUC